rnacentral:rRNA from 1 species
UACGGGGGGGGCAAGCGUUGUUCGGAAUUACUGGGCGUAAAGGGCUCGUAGGCGGCCAACUAAGUCGGACGUGAAAUCCCCAGGCUCAACCUGGGAACUGCGUCCGAUACUGGCAGGCUUGAAUCCGGGAGAGGGAUGUGGAAUACCCGGUGGAGCGGUGAAAUGCGUAGAGAUCGGGUGGAACACCAGCGGCGAAGGCGGCAUCCUGGCCCUGACCUGACGCUGAGGCGCGAUAGCGUGGGGAGCAAACGGG